GAUGGGUUCAUUCAAAUUUCUGCCCUAUCAACUUUCGAUUGUAAGAUAGAGGCUUACAAUGGUCUUAACGGGUAACGGGGAAUUAGGGUUCUAUUCCGGAGAGGGAGCCUGAGAAACGGCUACCACAUCCAAGGAAGGCAGCAGGCGCGCAAAUUACCCAAUGCUAAUUCAGCGAGGUAGUGACAAUCAAAUACUGAUACGGGGCUCUUUCGGGUCUCGUAAUUUGGAAUGAGUACAAUCUAAAUCCCUUAACGAGGAACAAUUGGAAGGCAAGUCUGGUGCCAGCAGCCGCGGUAAUUCCAGCUCCAAUAGCGUAUAUUAAAGUUGUUUGCAGUUAAAAAGCUCGUAGUUGAACCUUGGACCUGGCUGGCAGGUCACGCCUCACCGAGUGCACUGGUCCGGCCGGGCCUUUCCUUCUGGGGAGCCGAAUGCACCUUCACUGGGUGUGUCGGGAAAACAGGACUUUUACUUUGAAAAAAUAGAGUGUCAAAGCAGGCUAUGCUCAGAAUACAUUAGGCAUGGAAUAAUAGAA
rnacentral:rRNA from 1 species